CUGCAAUUGAAAUUGCCAUUCUUACUCCGCUUGCCUUGGAUACAAUGCUGUCUUUUAUGGGAUUGUGACGAUUGAUUGUGUUAAUAGGGCUUCAACGAAGCAGCGCAGCACGAAAAUGACACUUAAUGCGGCGAAAUGCACUAGCUCAAGGUGUCACUAAAGUAGCCCAUCUGACAGGUAUUGGAUCAUCAUGCUGCACUGUAUGGGGAAGUGGCAGUUAUUCUGGUCUUCUGGUUCAAAAUUAUUGAUUUAACAAAGAUAAACAGUGUUUUUACUCUCUCUUUUUUUCUCUGUCUUGUAGGCUGGACAAAUGCAUAGUUGAAGCAAUGCACAAAAAAUUCACUAGCUGCUUGAACGUUGUGGAAGUAACUGAGCCUUAACUAAUUUUUGCUGAAUGCAGACACAGUCCCAAACAGCAGCACUGGUGGAGGUAUCUUGUGACACUGUGCGCAACCAACCUGCAUGGACCUCUUUGUUGCAUGCGGUUACAUUUCCCAUAUAAAAAAAAAAGUUCAUAAAAGGACACGGAACAUGAAAAUCGAAGAAAAGCAACACAUGAUAAUAAAUGUGUGCCUAUAAUGCAGAUCAAAAAGGAUUCGGGACCUCGUUGACCCAACUAAAUAUCUCUAAUGCAGUGGGAGAAAGUGCUUGUCUGCCCUGAUGUAAUGUUCAUGCCUUCAGUGCUGACAUGUCCCCUGUUUCAACAUGUAGAUUUGAUCACUUGCUAAGUGUACGGAUAUGUUUUAUUGGCUUUUGUUUUCAACGUUGUGCCAACCACAGCUAUAUAAAUGUUUGGAGGUGUGGUAGCACUUGGGGAAACGAUAAAUAACACUAACCUUGUCUUCUAAUUAUUACAGGGCAUCUUCCAGUGAGCAUUGAGUGGAAGUUUUAAGUCUUUGUAUAGGCUGCACCCGGUGUUGUGGUUUCUUGCCUUGCAGCAUUGCAAGUUUGUUUUCUUCGACAGUUUUUAGCAAAUGAUCAAGUCAGGAAAGUCGUAAUUGAAAUAAAUGUGGACAACAUGACAGCAGCUCAUUCUUGUUGGAGGACCAUUUUUCUUGGGGAUUGAGCAAAUCAGUAAUGAAAUGUCGCAUUCAGUAACUGUAGAAAAGCCUUCAACAGCCCUGACCCAUCGCAUGUUUAAUCCGCUAAAUGAUUGCUGGCAGGAGUAUGUUGAGACAUGGUGUUUCAAGGAGGGGCCACUGUGGGUGGAUAGAAAUUUGUGUUCACAAAAAAAUUGUGUUCCAGAGUUAUUGAGAAUGUUGUUGCAUGUUGACUCUGACAUUGAUCUCUGUGUUGUUACAGGUAUGUCCAUGCCUCCUACAGAGCAUCCAGGAAAACUUGUGCUUUAGACUUCGCCAGAAUUCAGUCACACCAGCUUCUUAGAAAGCGUCCGCCUGUUUGCCCUGUUUCAUGGCAUAGCAGUUUGAUUUAUUAUUGAUUUAACAGGAUGACGAUGUGACUGUGUUUACUGACUGAUACCUCUGUUUGUUAGGUUGCAAAAAGUAAAAUUGCGAAUUUCCUUGCUGCUUUCUUAAGUCUAUUGGGAUCAUGGUAAAAAGAACAUGUUUUAUUGCAAUAACAAACUUGUAAUCAUAGGGGUAAAGAAAAAAGACAUUGUAAUGUACUGGGUGAAGCUGUAGCUUCCUCAAGGUGACACAUGGGACAGAAUUGUGCCUGUUUUCACCGAUCUGUUCAACAGAGUGCACAUUUGUGUUGAAGUGUUG
rnacentral:lncRNA from 1 species